GAUGAACGCUGGCGGCGUGCCUAACACAUGCAAGUCGAGCGAGAACCGCUGGAAUGACACUUCGGUAGAAUGAAAGCGGGGAAAGCGGCGGACGGGUGAGUAACGCGUAGGUAACCUGCCCCAUACACAGGGAUAGCCUAGGGAAACCUGGAUUAAUACCUGAUGAAGCAACUGGUCGCAUGACCGGCUGCCAAAGAUUUAUCGGUAUGGGAUGGACCUGCGUCUGAUUAGUGAGUUGGUGGGGUAAUGGCCUACCAAAGCGACGAUCAGUAGCCGACCUGAGAGGGUGAUCGGCCACAUUGGAACUGAGACACGGUCCAAACUCCUGCGGGAGGCAGCAGUGGGGGAUAUUGCACAAUGGGCGGAAGCCUGAUGCAGCAACGCCGCGUGAGCGAAGAAGGUCUUCGGAUCGUAAAGCUCUGUCCUGGGGGAAGAACAAAUGACGGUACCCCGGGAGGAAGCCCCGGCUAACUACGUGCCAGCAGCCGCGGUAAACU
rnacentral:rRNA from 1 species